CGUCCGGAAUUGCUGGGUUCCUGGUCUCACUGACUUCAAGAAUGAAGCCGCGGACCUUCGCGAUAUUCUGUUACUGCAGCACCAAUGGAUGAGGAUAGGGAAUGACUGAGCCAUAAGAUGAAAGGAUUCUGGGAUUUAAUUGGCCUCCAAGUUGAGCUAACAAUUGAGUCUCUGGAAUCUGUUAAAGGACAAGAUCUCAUCGCUAAGAUAAAUAUAACUCUGUACAUUAACCAUUAAGAAAUUAUCUACACUUGAACAUGGGCCAU
rnacentral:lncRNA from 1 species